UCUUGCCUCGGAUGACGCUUCGACUAUUUCACUGUCACUGCAUUGGAUGUUCCUCCCGAAGAAAACCAACACAUAAUAGGAUGCAUGCCGAGGUCGGGACUCUCAAGUGUGGACCCGAUUAGAGCAGGAUUAAGGCCCUUUUUAACUGACAUUGGUUACAUGCCGACGUUGGCGUUACGUUGCACUAAGCUGCAUGCACGUUCAAAUUUCUAGCCUCGUCUUUUUCAAGAUCCAUAUCUUCGUCACCGCAACGUCUGAUGUAUGGUUCAAGAAACGCAGUGGCGUGAGAUUGGUUUCGAGUUCGGGAGGCACGCUUGAAGAAAUAGGAUAUAUAGAAAGCCGGACGAGGAGUGAGUGAGUGGCUGAGUGGUGCAGGCUGCUGAUGACGACGGCGACGACGACCACGACGUGGCGUGACGCAACGCGACGCAAUAAGGUUUACGAAGGAAUGCUGAAUGGUCUCGAGGAAGUGGAUGUUACCGGUGGUGUGUUGUUUCCUCAAGUGCACUCCAUUCACGAAGCAAUACUGCGCUCUGAUUGGUUAAAGGCCGUAAAUACUUUAGACUUGUGAUGCCUGCUGGGCUUGUUAAAAAUUAAAGACGGUCCAGCCAAGAGUGAGCGUCGGCACCUCCAAGUAUUGGUUGAGAGCAAGGGGUGGCAAAAGGAAUGGUGGAAAAAUAUUGGUUUCUAUAAACUCCCGGUAUAGCAUUUUCAAAGAAAACCAUGUGAGAUCGUCGGCGAAGGUGGCAGCGCCUGCACCCUCUGCAGCCACAGUCUCCGCCAUUACGGUCAGCCAUUAUCCGUUAGCGGAUUCCUCAUUAAUGCCUACCAUCCGCAAAAGUGGCCGCACAGUCGCACGGUUGCAUCCGAGGAGGUCCGCUAUACUGGCUACGAACUAAAUUGAGAGAGAACAAGCGAUCGCUCUUAGUGUCAGUGGAGUCACUAUAUCCUUCAGAACAAGAAGAUAUCAACAAAGAUGAUGAGAACACAAAGCCUUGCAGCGGUUGCAGUCAGCACACCCCGCAAAGGAGGAGCGCCCGUUUGUUUGAAAAGCAUGCUAACUCACUAUUGAGUUGUCAGGCUGGAAGAUUCACUGGUGUUCGGCCUCAGAGCUCAAAAUUCAAAAGGAAGAAAAAACAUAUACGCUGGCUAUACAAAGGCACUCCUUGGUUGUGAGACUGCUAUCAAUCUAAAUGGGCUUUGAUGAAAGAAGUAAAGGACUUAGUGUAAACUGUCAUUCUGGAAGCAAAGGUAUAAUAAAUUGCUGCUAAUCCAGGUACAUUUUCAUAAAUUCUAUGUUCUCUGUACCUUCACCAUUAUGUAUAGUCAAUGCAGACUGUAAAUUAGCCUUGUAGAUGUCAAAUUAAAUUACUAUUUUUCCUGUGUCAGAUCAUGGCACAGAUACUGUCAGUCCCGCCAGUAAGCGAUGUCACGGUUCUGCGAACCAGUCAGUGUUGCAGCGUCUCACUGACAGUGGGGAAGAGGACCUGAUGCAGAGUAUUCUACAGAAGCUACCGCCUGCCAAUCUUCUUCAAGCUGCCAGGGUCAUUGCACAAUCUUUGUAUUUGGAGAUGUAAUUUCUAUGUUGCCUGGAAUCAUCGCUUUAGUCAAGAGUUACUGUACAUGAACAUGGAUCACAUAAUCCAUCAUCCCUUCCUCUGCAAAUGUGUAUUAUUGGGAUACUAUUGAAACUUGUAACAUUGUGGGGUUUUAUUUAUACUUUUAACUUAACUAUUUUCUCAAACCACCACAUCACCAUGUUUUGAAGUGUGCUACAAUAAGUAUUCAUUAGGAUUUUUCAAUAACUGUGAUAUCUGAAAACGACUAGUUAUCCUAAUAAAAUACCCCUUCAUUGAAA